rnacentral:rRNA from 1 species
AUGGACGGCGGCAGUAGUCUUAAUCUGAUAUAUCAGGACACUGUCCACAAGAUGGGGAUAGACCCGUCAAGAAUCAACCAAAGCAGUACUACCUUUAAAGGAGUAAUACCAGGCGUAGCGGCCCGCUGCACAGGCUCUUUGACGUUAGUGGUUGUAUUCGAUUCUCCCGACAACUUUCGAAGCGAAGAACUAAUCUUCGACAUCGCUCCGUUCCGAAGCGGUGGUCAUGCACUUCUCGGAAGAAUGGUCUUCACCCAUUUCAAUGCAGUACUGCAUUACGAUUAUCUCAAACUUAAGAUGUCUGGUCCACGUGGCGUCAUCACAAUCAGCGGAAACACAGACCGUUCUCUUCGUGCGAAAGAUUACAUGGAGGCUCUAGCAGCCGAACCACUGAACGGCCCUCCAACCCAAGUAACUCAUCGGUCUUCGAGACCACGGACACGGCUAGACGCGUACGGCGCACACCUAGUUAUAGCAGCCCAGAUAAACCUGAGCUUGAUUAAUGGCUAUGCCCCCAUAUGUGGUGCUAGGGGCUACCCGCAUGUAAAAGGCCCAUAG